GACGAAGGAUGCAAGCGUUAUCCGGAUUCAUUGGGGUUAAAGGGAGCGUAGGCGGAUUGGUAAGUCAGUGGUGAAAUCUUUGGGCUUAACCCAGAAACUGCCAUUGAUACUGCUGAUCUAGAGUACAGUUGCCGUUGGCGGAAUAUGACAUGUAGUGGUGAAAUACUUAGAUAUGUCAUAGAACACCGAUUGCGAAGGCAGCUAACGAAGCUGUAACUGACGCUGAGGCUCGAAAGUGCGGGGAUCAAACAGG
rnacentral:rRNA from 1 species